GCCCGAUCUCGUCUGAUCUCGGAAGCUAAGCAGGGUCGGGCCUGGUUAGUAUCUUGGAUGGGAGACCACCUGGGAAUCCCGGGU
rnacentral:rRNA from 1 species